ACCAUAUAUAGUAGAGCUAGGAAACACUGCAGACAGAAUGAGACUCAGAAGCUUUCACAUGAAGAUGUGACCUGAAGCCAAUGGGCAAGAAGAUGACAGAGACAAAGAGAUGGAGAGAGAGAGAAUUCCCACUCCUGCUAUAAAGCAAAGCUCACUGGUCUCCCACUAGCAUUAGCAUCAUGUAUCUGCCUCCAGAUCCAGUCAAAGCAAAGUGAGGCAUGGACAAUAUCACACUUGAGAAGGGAUUCAGGAUUGUGGAGAAGGAUGGCUUGUCCAGAUAUGCCAGAAUGUUUUUGUUUUCUCAAUGACUUGAUGAAAGGAGGGGAGGAGAUCAGAAGGAGAAGGAAACACUUUGAUUUCCAAGUCCUGUGCAUGUGUUUGAAAAAGAGAGAGAAGUGGGUGGAUGUGACAAAUAAUACUCUCUCAUCUGAUGUAGUCAGGUUGAUUGAAAU